rnacentral:rRNA from 1 species
CAGCAGCCACGGUAAUACGAAGGGUGCAAGCGUUAAUCGGAAUUACUGGGCGUAAAGCGUGCGUAGGCGGUGAGUUAAGUCUGCUGUGAAAUCCCCGGGCUCAACCUGGGAAUGGCAGUGGAUACUGGCUCGCUAGAGUGUGUCAGAGGAUGGUGGAAUUCCCGGUGUAGCGGUGAAAUGCGUAGAGAUCGGGAGGAACAUCAGUGGCGAAGGCGGCCAUCUGGGCCAACACUGACACUGAGGCACGAAAGCGUGGGGAGCAAACAGGAUUAGAUACCCGGGUAGUCCCUGUCUCUUAUAC